ACAGUUUGGCCAAAUCUGAUUGUU
rnacentral:siRNA from 1 species